rnacentral:misc_RNA from 1 species
GAUGAAGAACGCAGCGAAAUGCGAUAAGUAGUGUGAAUUGCAGAAUUCAGUGAAUCAUCGAAUCUUUGAACGCACAUUGCGCCCCUUGGUAUUCCAUGGGGCAUGCCUGUUCGAGCGUCAUUUGUACCCUCAAGCUUUGCUUGGUGUUGGGCGUUUUGUCUUUUUAUGAAGACUCGCCUUAAAGUAAUUGGCAGCCAGUGUUUUGGUAGUAAGCGCAGCACAUUUUGCGUCUUAGUCCUUUAACAGCGGCAUCCACAAAGCCUCUUUUUCACUUUUGACCUCGGAUCAGGUAGGGAUACCCGCUGAACUUAAGCAUAUCAAUAAGCGGAGGA